rnacentral:rRNA from 1 species
GAUGAACGCUGGCGGCGUGCUUAACACAUGCCAGUCGAACGAUGAAGCCCAGCUUGCUGGGUGGAUUAGUGGCGAACGGGUGAGUAACACGUGAGUAACCUGCCCUUAACUCUGGGAUAAGCCUGGGAAACUGGGUCUAAUACCGGAUAGGAGCGUCCACCGCAUGGUGGGUGUUGGAAAGAUUUAUCGGUUUUGGAUGGACUCGCGGCCUAUCAGCUUGUUGGUGAGGUAAUGGCUCACCAAGGCGACGACGGGUAGCCGGCCUGAGAGGGUGACCGGCCACACUGGGACUGAGACACGGCCCAGACUCCUACGGGAGGCAGCAGUGGGGAAUAUUGCACAAUGGGCGCAAGCCUGAUGCAGCGACGCCGCGUGAGGGAUAACGGCCUUCGGGUUGUAAACCUCUUUCAGUAGGGAAGAAGCGAAAGUGACGGUACCUGCAGAAGAAGCACCGGCUAACUACGUG